UGUGUCAAUAUACACAUAUCAAAACGUGCCUAACAAAUAUGGCAAUAUUUGUCUGUACUAAACACUAAAAAGGGACUCUUCCUAUACCUGAGCAGAGACUCUUAUUUUGAUUCGGGAAAAUCGCGUAUAUGGACACUGGCUGUAAGUAUUCAUAAAAGAGUAGGUGAGAAUUACCUGGGUGACGUACUAAUUCUCGCGAGAUUCGGUCGUGCGUCUACUUAAAAUGCGUCCGAAAUCGCCUACUUCUCUACUAUAUAGUAGGGAAAAGCAGAAUGCGAUCGAAUAAGUAUGUCCGAAAAGUAUUCAUAAAAGAGUAGUCGAGAAGUUCCCGGAUGGCCUACUGCUUCUUCCCAGAUUCUUGAGUGCUCAUCCGAUGGAUACUUUUCUAUCCCAGGAAGCCACGCGUGCGGAUAAACCAUGAAGAAGAAGAGGAUACGUCAUAAUCGAACAUGGCGGAAAAUUUGAGUGAGGGUGUUUACAAAUGUGAGUAUUACAAACCAAAAACACGUUCCUUAUUUUACAUUUGCAUUUCUUGAACUACUGUAGAACAAAUUGUAAAGUUGUGAUUUUGCUGUAAAAAGAUGUUUUAUUAUGUAUAUUGUUAAAAGUAGAACUCCAGGAUACACCUGUACGUCUCCAAAGUGGAUUUACAUACAUUUUAAACCGUAUACAUCUAAAAUACGAUUACCAAAUGUCUAUUUAAUAUCUGGUAGGUAAAUGUUCGAUAUGAGUUUCAUACGAGUUUGUCUAAUAGGUCCUAGUUAUGAAGUAGACAUUUGAGUGAUGUACGUUGUAUGUGUGCUAUUGUGUAGUACAAUUAACUAUUGUUAGCAGUAUUUGCAAUAGAUGGAUGUAAGUAAUAUAAAUACAUUUCCAUAAAGUACCUACAUAUAAGUAAUCUAUUUUUUUUUUCACCAUUAGAACUGUUGAAAAUUUCAGAAACAUGUGUUGGAUAAAAAGCUACUUAACAUGUCAUCAUGUAAAUGUAGUUUUGAGCACACAAAUCUCAGAGGUAACGUGAAUCUUGUGUGGAUUUUACAGGGACAGAUGAGCACACACGUCUGCUUAUACGGUGGAGAGCAGCUAACAAAGCCCUCUUCACCAGAAGGCGGAAUGCUGCCGUCAAAGGCUUUGAAGCUUUUGUGGAGGAGCAGGGCCUUCAAGGCAGAGUGACGGCAGCAUUUGUAAAACAAAAAAAAAAAAUGGGAAAACCUCAAACAGAAAUAUAAAGAACUGAAAUGUCCAAAGACCGGUGUUAACACUGAGGAUGGAGAGCCCACAGCAGCAUCUUGGAAAUGGUAUAGUGCCAUGGAUGAGGCAAUUGGGGGCAGACCCUCCAUCACUUUACCUGCCCUUAUUGCCUCAUCUGGCCCAGAUGUUGCUGUGUGUUCUUCAUCCUCAGUGAGCCCAGAGCCAGCGAGGGCUACACGGAAAAGGCCAAAACAUCUGGAGGACAUUAUGAAAGAGAUGGAGGAGAGGGAAGCGGAGCGAGAGCAGGAAGCUGCCGAGAGAGAGGGGAGACGAUGGAAAGAAAUAGAAGAGAAGGAGGACAGAAGAGAACGAGAGAGACAAGUAAGGCAGGAAAGACAAGAAAGAGAAGCAGAAGAAAGAGAAGAGAGAUGGCAACGAGAAGUGAGAGAGAGAGGAAAGGAGAGAGAGGGAGACAAGGGAAAGGGAUGAAAGGUUCCUUUCCCUCCUUGAAAUUCUUGCAAAAAAAUAAAUAAUGGAGACAAAAGCAUCUUCUAUUCAUUUACACAUUUAUGUUUGUGUAAUAAGAACAAACAUAUUUUCAAAUACAAUUAAAUAUAUGCACAGUAGUCAGCAUUUGAAGUGCUUCAAAACCUUUCAUCAAAGUUGUCCUAAAACCAAAACCAUACCCGUUCUUGUCUUAGAACAACUUUGUAUGUUUUAUGUAUAUGUGUGUGUGUACUGUGCAAAAAUCAUAAGGAACAACCAGCUCUGAUUUAGCAAUGCUUUAAUGACAAUCAAUGUUUGGCUCUCUUCAUUAAGAUAAAAACAGAAAAUCAACAAAAUAUAUGGACAAAUAAAAAAAAAAAAUUGAACAAAACGUCUUCUUUAAGCAACAUCAAGAAAGUGUCAAACAAGAAACCCUGGGAAGCUUAUCACAUUACGUUUUCUUGGACUUCCAGUGAAAGUCAGGUUCCUUCUGUUGCUCAAGUGUAAAGGCGGUCACACUAAGUUCUUGGCACAUAUGGCCAUUAUACUAUUGCUACAUCAUCAUUAAAUGGUGGCUUAAGACUUUUGCACAAUACUAUGUAUAUAAAACUAUCUCUAGGAAUUUACAGUAUAAUAUAGACUUCUAGAUAUUUACUGAUAACUUUCAUUAAUUUAAAUACUUAUGAAGUGUUUUCCUGUUGUAGUAACAGUGGGAGUUAAUUGUUGGUGGUUUUAUGCGGAUAUGAGACCCGUCUAUUGCACCAACCGCCCUGCUGAAAGCUGGUGACCCAGCCAGCUGUGCAAAUCCGGCUCCCACUGCCUCCAGGUCAUCACCGGUUGGAAAGCAAAUCACCCUCCUCAAAAUUCCCAUGAUUGCCUGGCUCACUCUAUGCACAAUGUCAUGCACAGCCAGUAGAGGAAGACAAGCACCUCAAUGUCUGUCUCCCAUCCAUGGUCAGAUUCCAGUCUGAGUGCACCAAUGAGGGACAUGAUGGACGGCAAAGACAGGUGAAGGUGGGCACGGUGGUCAGCUGCUUCAUUAAAAUAGAGCCGCAGAAUUGACACAGCUCUAUUCAGGUGGCAGU